CUACGGCUCUUUAUUUGGUUUCUAUUGGGCAAACACCGCGUAUGAGUGAUGUACAUUUUGGGGAAAACAAGUAUACGCAUUGAACUCAUCAAGGUUUCGGAAUAAUGAAGAGACAUGUGACUUAAUGUGUAGGAACAUCAACUAAUAUUACCACGGCUUGAAAACGAAGAAAAUCGAACUUGCCGCAUAUAUUGAUCAAAAAAAGAGCAAAGAAACCAGAUGACAGAAGCCAGCUGCAGGACGAAGGAUGUCCCAGUCCUGGAUUUUUGCCUCACCUGCGGGCGGAUUUGUGUCAGCAUACCUGGCCGUAGUCUUGACAACCAUUUCAAACAGAAAUGCUUUUUAAAUUCCAUUUAAAUUCCGAAAAUACCCGGGCAGCCGAGGGAGCUGCAAAUCCUUUAUGGCAUAAACAUAACCCCAAAUA